rnacentral:rRNA from 1 species
AUACGUAGGGGGCAAGCGUUAUCCGGAUUUAUUGGGUUUAAAGGGAGCGCAGGCGGAGAUGCAAGCGUGACGUCAAAUUUCGGGGCUCAACCCCGUCUCGCGUCGCGAACUGCGUCCCUUGGUUGCGGGAAGGGGAGGCGGAACUCGUGGUGUAGCGGGGAAAUGCAUAGAUAUCACGAAGAACUCCGAUCGCGAAGGCAGCCUUCCGGCCCGUCAACGACGCUCAUGCUCGAAGGUGCGGGUAUCAAACAGGAUUAGAUACCCUGGUAGUCCGCACAGUAAACGAUGGACACCCGCGGUUUGGCCUGUAUGGCUGAGCCGCCAAGCGAAAGCGUUAAGUGUCCCACCUGGGGAGUACGCCGGCAACGGUGAAACUCAAAGGAAUUGGCGGGG